GUUCAGCCUCGGGAUUUACACUCGGCUCGACACGGAUAUGUGAAGAAUGAAGGGACCCUGCAGCGAAACGGAGAGCCAACCUCUGACUGAGUGCCCGUUUACUCAGUCUGACCACCUGUUGAAGGGCUGUUUGAUGACGAUUUGGACUCCUCUGGGAGAUGAGGACACACCCACAUCUGUUCCAUACUGCAGCCAUGGAUGGUGUUACGGCUCUGAGUCAGCUUGGGGCCAUCAGAUGCACACACUGGAAAACCAGCGCCUGUACUUCAUGCAGGAGAGACGGCCUCAGUGAUAAUUCAUCAGCAGCUGUGAAGAGAUGUAUUUGAAUAUCUUCUGGUUCCACUUUUCCUAACCUGGAAGCUGAGGAUGGCUGAUUCCUGACAAGGACACACACCUCAGCGCUUAUCAUGGGUGUUACAUCCUCUGUGCCGCAAUUCCAGAGAAAACGAGAGAGCAACGACCACUCAUUAAGACCAGCCAGAAAUCUGUCCCUUUCUGGCAGCUGUGAAAACUUCCAAUAAGAAAGUUUGCAUUCUUAGAACAAUGCUGGGUCAUGUGUGAUGUGUCAUUAUAUGAGGAUAUUACAUUUUGACUUAAUUCUGCUCAAUUAAGUGUUUUGUUCGUUGAU
ensembl:lncRNA